rnacentral:rRNA from 1 species
AUGGAACCAUUUCCGCCAAAUGUGACGUUCAGAAGAGAUUUAAUUGGACCCAGACUCCAAUCAUGGUACAUCCUGCUCCAACUGUUGUCCACAGUGCAUUUGUCAUAUGGGUCUGAUGUAUUUCGAUGGAAUCUACAUGGGAAUGAGCAAUUCUCAGUGGAAUCUAUGUAUAGAGCAUUAAUCCAGUCUAAUGUGCCAAAUGAUAAUAAUAAGAAGAUCUAAAAGAUAAAGAUACCUCUUAAGAAUAAAAUAUUUGCACGGUAUCUUCGUCGCGGAGUCAUUCUGACUAAAGAUAACCUUAUCAAGAGGAAAUGGCAUGGAAGUCCGCAAUGUAUUUUUUGUCAUCACAAUGAGACAAUAAAACAUUUAUUCUUCCAAUGCAAAUUGGCUCGAUCUAUAUGGUCAGUCAUCCAGAUAACUUCUGGCUUGUAUCUUCUUUGUAGUGUUGCUAAUGUAUUUGGCAACUGGUUAUAUGAGAUUGAUCACAGGUGUAGAACUCUUCUUAGGAUGGGAGCGCUUGCUGUUAUUUGGUCGCUUUGGCUAUGUAGGAAUGAUAAGGGUUUUAACGAUAAAAGUACUUCUUUAAUACAGAUUAUCUACACAUGUACCGGGACUCUUCGUUUAUGGUUCUCUCUACAACGCGUGGAGAAUCAAGACCUAUUUUUGGAGAUGUGUACACGAUUAGAGGAUGCGGCGAGGGAUACUUUUACCCAACAUGGAUGGCAGCAUGAUCUUAGGAUUGACCCACCUUCACUUUAG